CUUCUACUUCUUCUUCUACUUCUUCUACUUCUACUUGUUCUACUUCUUCUUCUUCUACUACUUCUACUUCUACUACCAUAAACACCUCAAUAAUGAUUUUCCAUCACACCAGCAACUACUUUAGAACCACCAAGAAACUGGCAAGCACGUCUUUGGACAGGUUCAAACUUUCUUGCUGUGAGGUGAUCGAUGCACCAUCGUGCUGUUAUACUGGCUAACUCAUCAAAUCACACCUUCAGCAAGCAAAGCACUUUUUACACUCCAAGCUACAUCCACAGAACUACUAUUCAAGACCCUCUCUAAAUCCUGAGCCCGGGUAAACAACAAGACUUCAACCACAGGUGAGAAUUGGGUAACCAGUGAGGAGUCCAAGAGAUUGGACUGAAAUAAA